GACGAACGCUGGCGGCACGCUUUACACAUGCAAGUCGAGCGAGAACCAGGGCUUCGGCCCUGGGGACAGCGGCGAACGGGUGAGUAACACGUGGGUAAUCCACCCUCGGCACCGGAAUAGCCCGGGGAAACCCGGAUUAAUGCCGGAUGGCCCGCCGGCCCCGAGGGGCUGGCGGAAAAGGUAGCUUCGGCCUCCGGCCGAGGACGAGCCCGCGACGGACUAGCUUGUUGGUGGGGUAACGGCCCACCAAGGCUGCGAUCCGUAGCUGGUCUGAGAGGACGAUCAGCCACACUGGGACUGAGACACGGCCCAGACUCCUACGGGAGGCAGCAGUGGGGAAUCUUGCGCAAUGGGCGAAAGCCUGACGCAGCGACGCCGCGUGGGGGAAGAAGGCCUUCGGGUUGUAAACCUCUUUCAGGAGGGACGAAGCCACUCGGGUUAAUAGCCCAGAGGGUGACGGUACCUCCAGAAGAAGCCCCGGCUAACUACGUGCCAGCCGCCGCGGUAAGAC
rnacentral:rRNA from 1 species